GCCCCCGUAGCUCAGUGGCCUAGAGCGGCGGGCUUUUAACCCGCGCGGCGGAGGUUCGAAUCCUCCCGGGGGCA
rnacentral:tRNA from 1 species